ACUAUAUACUGUGAAACUGCGAAUGGCUCAUUAAAUCAGUUAUCGUUUAUUUGAUCAUAACCUACUACAUGGAAUACCUGUGGAAAAUCUAGAGCUAAUACAUGCUAAAGCCCCGACUUCGGAAGGGGUGUGUUUAUUAGAUAAAAAGCCAAUGCCCUUCGGGGCUCCUUGGUGAUUCAUGAUAACCUUUCUGAUCGCAAAUGGCCUCCGCGCCGGCGACGGUUCAUUCAAAUUUCUGCCCUAUCAACUUUCGAUGGUACGGUAGUGGCCUACCAUGGUGUCAACGGGUAACGGGGAAUUAGGGUUCGAUUCCGGAGAGGGAGCCUGAGAAACGGCUACCACAUCCAAGGAAGGCAGCAGGCGCGCAAAUUACACAAUGUCGACUCGACGAUGUAGUGACAAUAAAUACUGAUACAGGGCUCUUUUGGGUCUUGUAAUUGGAAUGAGUACAAUUUAAACCUCUUAACGAGGAACAAUUAGAGGGCAAGUCUGGUGCCAGCAGCCGCGGUAAUUCCAGCUCUAAUAGCGUAUAUUAAAGUUGUUGCAGUUAAAAAGCUCGUAGUUGAACCUUUGGCUUGGCGAGCACGUCCGCCUCACCGCGUGCACGUGACCCGCCGAGCCUUUUCUUCUGGAGAACCGCAUGCCCUUCACUGGGUGUGUUGGGGACCAGGACUUUUACUUUGAAAAAAUUAGAGUGUUCAAAGCAGGCCUUUGCUCGAAUACGUUAGCAUGGAAUAAUGGAAUAGGACGUGCGGUCCUAUUUUGUUGGUUUCUAGGACCGCCGUAAUGAUUAAUAGGGACAGUCGGGGGCAUCAGUAUUCAAUUGUCAGAGGUGAAAU
rnacentral:rRNA from 1 species